GGAGAUUUGGAAGUAAUUAAAUGGGAGGUAUCAUGAAGAACAAAAUACGUGGUUGGGUGUGAUAAUAUGAAGAUCUGGUGAGGUAUAUAAAAUAGAAAGGAGAAAAAGAGAGAUCUGACAUAGCCACUCUGUGAAGAACAAGUAGCACAUAAUAAACAUGGAUUGUAUGGUGUCAAAUUCCGGCGUGCCACCACGUAGCAUGUUGACAAGAACCCCAGUCUUAUGGGACAAAGGUUUGCCUUUCAAGAGUAUUGUAUUCUAA
rnacentral:misc_RNA from 1 species